rnacentral:lncRNA from 1 species
UGUUUAGUAGUUUUCCUCAGGCAGGAUUUUGAGAGACAAACAUGUUUUUUAAUCGGACUUUCUUUACUUUACCCUGCCUUUUAAUUCAGCCCAAGGCAACCAGCACUCCUACGCAGUGAUCAAUAUGUCUCGAUGUCAGCACCAUCAUAUUGCCAGCCGUCCAGUAUAUCAGUGGUGACACUGUGGUUGUGAUGAAUGAAGAGAUGCUCUUUGAGGGUUUGGUCCUCCAAGCGGGCAGUCUGAGUUUGGUUUCAACCUUUUUUUUCCACAUCAUUGCCCUCCCUAGUUCAGUAAACCUGUGAACCUAAAGGAAAUACAAUGAGAUUUUAUUGCAAAUACCAAAUUUUCUCAAUCAGUAAUCACUUAUUUGCUAAAAAAUAUACCCUAUAACACUAUACAAUUGGCACAGUUUCUCUAGGAUUCAGAUUUAAGUAGAUAUUACAUUCAUGGUCAAUGCAGCUAAAUUUAGCAUCAAGGUUCACCCAUUUUAAAUCAUUUUUAGUGAGUUAACUUUGUUCAUCUUUAAUCUAUUGGCUAACUUUUCUCUUUAUGCAUGACUGUCUUAAAAGGGCCAUGGCAUGAAAAACUGACUUUGUUAACGGGAGGGGGGUGCAUAUCAGGGAUAGAAAACCGCUACAAUCGCCCCAAGUUCGAAAAAAAUCCAUCCAGUCGUUUUGUAGUUGUUUCCGUAUUUAGGAACUGUGUGCUCAGAGCUGGCCGGACAUGACGUCAUGUCAGUGCUGGCGGGUUGAUGGUACUGCCCAUGGAGCCGCCCACUGCCCUGCCUACAAAAUUAUCAAAACACCGCCAUUAUUUCCGGCCGCUCGCUCGCAUAGCUCCGGUUAGAACCAUGGCGGAAGUACGAUCUGAAAUAGAGGCAGCGUUUGCUCUGUUGUUGGCUGCACAAACGAGCACAAAACUCUUUUGAAAACUCCCUGGUCGGAGGAGUUGAGGACUCAAUGGGUGGAUUUUAUUUAUAAUGUGAAUGUACCCGCGGCACUUCCAACAUAUCUGUACUUAUGUGCGCACCAUUUCACUUCGGACUGUUUUAUAAACGAGGGACAGUUCAACGCUGGAUUUGCUAGAUGUCUGAAGAUAAAGAAUGGAUCCGUACCAACUAUCCGUGAUCCUACUACAAACGUGGCAUCUGUAAGUAUUAACGUUUUAUUUUGACUCACCGUUUAGCCUAAAUUCUCCCCGGUGCCUCAGCACGGCCACCACGCUUUGAUAAACACACCGGAUCCGCGCCGGUUUACCGGAUCCUCCCGUAUUUUAGCCGCUCGCUUCUUCCCCGACAACUCCGCCGCCGGGGACAAAACCCCCCUCUAGAGCAGCAUGUAGCUUUAGCAUUUACCCGUGCGGCGACGCGCCUCUUUUGGCUCAAAUACGGGACGUCCCGGCUAAUGCUGGACGGUCGGCCAUCUAAUUUAUUAGCAAAGGCUUCAGAGAAGUUUUAGAGCACCAAAAUCUUACAUUGUAGCAGAGCUCUGGUUGUAUUUUUUUUCUACAUUCUUAUCUUCCUCCUUAAGCGUGACCCUCCUGGCGGCUUUGAAUAAUACAUAGGAUGUGUCGACUAGGUCGCUUCAAGUCGCGUUUGGUCUGAACGCGGCUGAGAGUUUCUUCCGGAGCCUCUCCCUCUGGGUCAGACUCUGGCUCAAACUGGUAGGGUUGUACGAGCGAUCUUCUUGCACCCAUGCCAAAAAUUCCAUGUUUUGACCAACUGUCUUGCAGAUCCCAUCUUAAUCCCUUAGAUACACCUGUGGCUGUGAUUCAGUAUUAAUGCUGCUUACCUUACUCUUAUUUUCUGUUGGUCAGCCGUCUUAUCUCUCCUCUCUGUCUCUGCCUCACUCCUCACCCUGCAGUCCUCUGGCACCUUGUUGUUAACAGGCCCAGUGACUGGCAGCUGUAACCAGACAUCUUUUUGACCUUGUUUACAGUCUCACAUUAAAUGGCACCUUGCUGAGACCUUGUGGUCAGUGUCAAUCAGAACAGGCCCUGAGGGGAACGCCGCAUGUGUGAGUCUGUCUGCCCAUCCUCCCCUUCGCUCAGCCUACCAUCCAAUAGGCUUUUCUAUCUGCGGACUAUCACACGGUUAUGAGGAGUGGACAUUUUAAAUCUCUGCUACUUAAUCCCACAGUUCUGAUAAACAUACUUGGCAGCGUUUCCCAAAAAAACUUUCCAAAAAAAAAACUGUUAAAAAUGUGAUUGUGGUUGGAUAAAACCCCACGGCAAGAGCAAUGCCAAGCUAAACAUGAGGACCAGAUCAGAUAACAAAUAUAUGUCUUUAAAAUUACUCUUAUACAGCCAAUGUGACAUCCAUCAAACUGAAGAAGACAGACUUUUGCUUUGGCAGUGUCACAAGAGUUGUGACAAAAAGGACCUUAUGCAUCCAUAAAGAAUGUGAACAGAGAAACAUUAAUGUUGAGACUUAAACAUGAAUGAAAAUGUUAGUACUAAUGUCAGUAGACUGUUAAGAACAUCAUUUCCAAGACAGGGCUAGCAAGCAUUAGAUAUGACUUUUUUUUAUUUUUUUUGAACGAGCUGAAUAAAUAAACCAUUUCCAAAUUCAUGAACCAAUCCUCAGAUCAGUACCAUGCUUUCAUCUUUGUCUCCCUUUUUCUCUCUCUCUGUAUACAUGUCAUCCACCUCACCUUCCUCCUUCAGCUUUACUCCAACUACUGCAGUAAAUAUCAUCCAUCUGACCUACUGUGUAUUAACCUUAAUGUGGUUAAUAAUACUGAGAUUGAUGGCUACAAUCAUUAUUCUAUCUUAUUAUUUCUAUUAGUAGAAGUAGAAGUAGUAGUAAUAGUAGUACAGAAGAAGUAAAGUCCAGACCUGCUCUUAAAGUUUCCAAACUUUGUUUAAAUUUAGUGCCACAAUCGAUCAAUGAAUUUGUGACUGACACCACCUAAUAUGUGUUUUCCUGUGAGUUUAAGAUCGUAAAAAACUAAAAUCUCAUGACUGUAACACAGAAAGGCACUAGAGGAUAGUAAAGACAUCGUUGAGUUUUCAUACUUGAUGUCGAAAAAAUCCAGUUUUACACUGAGAGGUCAUCCCAAGGACGAUUUGCAGGUGUCUCUGACAUUAAAGUGAUGGUUCUCUGGUGCCCUCUAGAGGCCAACCUUAGUCAUUUCAUCUUUGAUUUGAAAUUAAUUUGUAUAAAGGUAUGAUUUCUGCGCUAUGUGCAAAUUUGUGUUUGUUUUUAUUUAUUAUGUAGUUUUUGAUGAGACAUGAGCCAACACUAAUGAAACUGAAACAGUUUGUACCAAAGGAGAAAAAUGCUUGUGUCAUUAACGCAAGCAAGUGCUUGUGGUGAUGGAAGCCUUUCUCUAAAAUGUGCUUUCAUUUAUGCUGUCAUAUAUGCCACAAAGUGUGUCUAUAUAAAAACUACAAGAAUAGCAGCAGGUCAGUCAGACUGGUUCAUGGCUCAUCAGUGUAUUCCAGUCCAGUGUUAUCUCAUUUAAACUGAAGAUGAUUUCACAUUAAUUAAUCAAUCAUUGGCCAGACAGUCAGUACCAGAGGCCUUUCUGGCCUGCUGCCCAUCCUGGUCACAAAUCAAUAUGAAAGCAGUCAGACCAGUCAGGAUUCAGUGUUUAGCGUCUGGCCUCAGGGAUGAUUUGUGGACAAUAUUUGUUUUUCUCACUUUCAUCGCCUCACCCUCCCUGUUGACUCUGCCCUGAGUAAACAGCACUCUGACAUGAUGACCAGCUUGUCUCCACAUUAACACCAUGUGGAAACCAGCUUUGGAGCCCAUUCAUGGUUAAUUAGUGCCACAGAAUAUCAAUUUAACCAAAUAAAAAUAAAAUUAAAAAGGCAUUGUUGGACUGCAUGUAUGUACAGCACAUGUCAAAAUCCAGAACUUGUCUGGUGUAGAUAUAUUUGUAAAAUAUCUGCUUCUCAGUAGUGACAGGGAAAAUAAAGAAAAAAAGGACUGGCUGGUUGACUGUUUAUUUAAUAAGUCUGGCAAAAAUUCUAAACAUAUUUCUUUAUUUAUAGCUGCAGAUGAACAUUCAGUCAUUAAUCUUUAGUGUCUUUUAUGAGUUACUUUCAGCCAACUGUUUCUCUUGAUUACUGAUUUAUUUCACUCACUCUCUUCCAGUUCACAUUAUUUCACUUGUGGCAACUUGCAGAUUAACCCCCCAAAACAGUAACCUCUAAUGAGAGUAUUUGUGUUUAUUAUUAUUUCUUGUUGUUUCUGAUUCAAAGUUAAAAGCUACAGAAGACUAAGUUCUUCCUGUCACCCUGCAGCCCUCUGUGGUACCUUGCUGGUCACAGACCGGCCCACUGAUUGACAGCUGUUACCCAACAUCAUUUUGACCUGGUUUGCAGCCUCACAUUAAAUGGCACCUUGCUUAGACCUUGCGGUCAGUGUCAGUCAUUAAAACCCUGGAGGGGAUGUCGCCUGUGUUAGCCUGUUUACCCAUCCUCCC